UACGGGGGGAGCAAGCGUUGUUCGGAAUCACUGGGCGUAAAGGGAGUCUAGGCGGUUUGGUAAGUGGGAUGUGAAAUCCCCAGGCUUAACCUGGGAACUGCAUCCGAUACUGGAUGGCUUGAAUCCGGGAGAGGGAUGCAGAAUUCCAGGUGUAGCGGUGAAAUGCGUAGAUAUCUGGAGGAAUACCGGUGGCGAAGGCGGCAUCCUGGACCGGCAUUGACGCUGAUGAGCGAAAGCUAGGGGAGCAAACGGG
rnacentral:rRNA from 1 species